rnacentral:rRNA from 1 species
UCCUUCGGGAAACGGAUUAGCGGCGGACGGNNNNNNNNNCGUGGGCAACCUGCCUUAUAGAGGGGAAUAGCCUUCCGAAAGGAAGAUUAAUACCGCAUAAUAUUAUCGAAUGGCAUCAUUUGAUAAUCAAAGGAGCAAUCCGCUAUAAGAUGGGCCCGCGUCGCAUUAGUUAGUUGGUGGGGUAAUGGCCUACCAAGACGACGAUGCGUAGCCGACCUGAGAGGGUGAUCGGCCACAUUGGGACUGAGACACGGCCCAGACUCCUACGGGAGGCAGCAGUGGGGAAUAUUGCACAAUGGGGGAAACCCUGAUGCAGCAACGCCACGUGAGCGAUGAAGGUCUUCGGAUCGUAAAGCUCUGUCUUUAGGGAUGAUAAUGACAGUACCUAAGGAGGAAGCCACGGCUAACUACGUGCCAGCAGCCGCGGUAAUACGUAGGUGGCAAGCGUUAUCCGGAAUUAUUGGGCGUAAAGGGAGCGUAGGCGGAUAUUUAAGUGGGAUGUGAAAUACAUGAGCUCAACUCAUNCGCUGCAUUCCAAACUGGAUAUCNAGAGUGCAGGAGAGGAGAGUGGAAUUCCUAGUGUAGCGGUGAAAUGCGUAGAGAUUAGGAAGAACACCAGU